UGAGUAACGGCGAGCGAAAGGGAGAGCCCAGCGCCGAAGCCCGCUCUCGAGAGGGAGCCGGGCAAUGUGGCGUUUAGGAGUGAGCGUGCCGGAGGUCGACUCUGCAGCAAGUCCCCCUGACCGGGGCUGUUACCCAGAGUGGGUGCGAGGCCCAUAGCUGCUAGGUCGCCGCCGGAUGCGAUCUCCUUGGAGUCGGGUUGCUUGGGAGUGCAGCCCUAAUCGGGUGGUAAACUCCACCUAAGGCUAAAUACGGCCGUGAGACCGAUAGCAAACAAGUACCGUGAGGGAAAGUUGCAAAGAACUUUGAAGAGAGAGUUCAAGAGUACGUGAAACUGCUCAGAGGCAAACGGGUGGGCCCUCGAAAUCCUGUGGCGGGAGGAUUCAGUCUCGCGGGGCGGACGUGCGAUCGGAGAUUCCCAGAACGGUUCCGCGGAGGCGGCCGCUCCGAAUGCACGCUUUCGCUUCGCAGGACGCAUUUGUUUCCCGUCCGAAGGACCCCGCAACCGGUUCGGAAACGGCCUUAAGGGCGAGCGAUGGCAGUUGGCCGGUGGCUUACUUACGUGGGUCGCCGGUUGUUAGCCGGUUCUCGUCGCACGGCUCGUGGCCGGACCGAGGUGUCSCGAGGCCUCUUUAGGCUUUUUCGCCUCCUCCGUUAGCGGACGCCGGGAUCCAGCGGCAGGGGUUAGCACUUCUGCGGGCGCACGGACAGUCUCCGUGGCCCAGCGGUCGCGGUGCGUCCUCGUUGGCUGCGGUGAACCCGUCGGAG
rnacentral:rRNA from 1 species